rnacentral:lncRNA from 1 species
AAUUAUAAUGUUAGUGUUAAUACAUGCUAGAGAUAUGAUAUGUAAAUCAUUUUCCUAAAGUCAUGCCACAAAAAAGAAAAGAAGGAAUAAUCAAGCACCAAGGCUAGGAUGGUGGUCCAUUACUUCAAUCCAUGAUUCAUGACACUUACGACAAACUUAUGCAUCACUCCAAAGUACCUUAAAUGAUCCUUUAUCAAUUGGGAGGUAAAUUUGAUAUAAUGAAAGUU